rnacentral:sRNA from 1 species
ACAAAGUAAUUGAAUGUAAAAGACAAAUAACCAAGUAAACGAAGUGUAGAUUCAAGUGAUUAAAGCGUCGGGUCUAAGGAAUUGUCUCGGGAGAUAGAUAAAUUGUAGAUCUAGCUAAUAUAAGGAUUGUUAUGGCACCGUUCUCAAACUCAAACUAAGAUUCUAGAGUAACCGGUGAUGUUCCACAAAACUCUCUUUACUUAGAGCUAAGAUAACCGGAGAAACCGAGAAAUCUUAUACUAAAGCAUGCAUUGUUAUCAAGCUUGAUUAGUUCACCUAGUAUCUAAACCAGAGCCCUUCUAUGAGCCUACAUGUUCUUUCUUAAAUGCCUAAACUCAUCUAUGAUAGUUCAAACAACAAGUACCUAUGGUGGGCAUACCUAUUAUCUAAUAUCACGUUCUAGGUGAUCAAUCUAAAACUAGCAAUAAGAAUAAUCAAGAUGAAGAACUAUAAGAAUAAUCUUAAGGGGUUUUCGAUCUACUAAUCCAUCUAAAUCCCUAUUGAGACUCCCUAAACCCAACAAGGUGAUUACUCAGAUAUGAUAACAGAAACACAAAUCAUAAUCUGACUAGUUUGCAUUGAUGAAUUAGAAAUAGAGUAAAAGGAGUCCAGAAUCCUCUCUACAGGGAUUGGAUUCUUCUCUCCAAAAUGUAUCUCAAUCUCUGAAAAAACAAAACUUAGGUCUAACAAUGA